rnacentral:rRNA from 1 species
CCGUGUGUGAAGAAGGACUUCUGGUUGUAAAGCACUUUCAGUUGUGAGRAWAAGURAGUAGUUAAUACCUGCUCACCGUGACGUUAACAACAGAAGAAGCACCGGCUAACUCCGUGCCAGCAGCCGCGGUAAUACGGAGGGUGCGAGCGUUAAUCGGAAUUACUGGGCGUAAAGCGCCACGCAGGCGGUUUGUUAAGCUAGAUGUGAAAGCCCCGAGCUCAACUUGGKAURKUCAUUUAGAACUGGCAGACUAGAGUCUUGGAGAGGGGAGUGGAAUUCCAKKUGUAGCGGUGAAAUGCGUAGAUAUCUGKAGGAACAUCAGURGCGAAGGCGACUCCCUGGCCAAAKACUGACGCUCAUGUGCGAAAGUGUGGGUAGCGAACAGGAUUAGAUACCCUGGUAGUCCACACCGUAAACGCUGUCUACUAGCUGUUUGUGCUUUAAGGCGUGAGUACGAMKAACGCGAUAAGUAGACCG